rnacentral:rRNA from 1 species
UACGUAUGGGGCAAGCGUUGUUCGGAGUUAUUGGGCGUAAAGGGCGUGUAGGCGGCUCAUCAAGUCUGGUGUGAAAUUGCAGGGCCCAACCCUGCAGGUGCGCUGGAAACUGGUGGGCUAGAGUUCCUGAGGGGAAGCUGGAAUUCCAGGUGUAGGGGUGAAAUCUGUAGAUAUCUGGAAGAACACCGGUGGCGAAGGCGAGCUUCUAUCAGAGGACUGACGCUGAGGCGCGAAAGCGUGGGGAGCAAACAGG